rnacentral:rRNA from 1 species
CCUUGUACACACCGCCCGUCACACCAUGGAAGCUGGGGGGACCUGAAGUCGGUGCGCCAACCGCAAGGGGGUAGCCGCCGAAGGUCAAUUCAGUGACUGGGGCG